CACGGGCGGCAGCAGUGGGGAAUAUUGGACAAUGGGCGAAAGCCUGAUCCAGCCAUGCCGCGUGUGUGAAGAAGGCCUUCGGGUUGUAAAGCACUUUCAGUGGGGAAGAAAGCCUUGGGGCUAAUACCCUCGAGGAAGGACAUCACCCACAGAAGAAGCACCGGCUAACUCCGUGCCAGCAGCCGCGGUAAUACGGAGGGUGCGAGCGUUAAUCGGAAUUACUGGGCGUAAAGCGCGCGUAGGCGGUCUGAUAAGCCGGUUGUGAAAGCCCCGGGCUCAACCUGGGAACGGCAUCCGGAACUGUCAGGCUAGAGGGCAGGAGAGGAAGGUAGAAUUCCCGGUGUAGCGGUGAAAUGCGUAGAGAUCGGGAGGAAUACCAGUGGCGAAGGCGGCCUUCUGGACUGACACUGACGCUGAGGUGCGAAAGCGUGGGUAGCAAACAGGAUUAGAUACCCUGGUAGUC
rnacentral:rRNA from 1 species